rnacentral:rRNA from 1 species
UACGGGGGGGGCAAGCGUUGUUCGGAAUUACUGGGCGUAAAGGGCUCGUAGGCGGCCAACUAAGUCAGACGUGAAAUCCCCAGGCUCAACCUGGGAACUGCGUCUGAUACUGGAUGGCUUGAAUCCGGGAGAGGGGUGCAGAAUUCCAGGUGUAGCGGUGAAAUGCGUAGAUAUCUGGAGGAAUACCGGUGGCGAAGGCGGCAUCCUGGACCGGCAUUGACGCUGAGGAGCGAAAGCUAGGGGAGCAAACGGG